rnacentral:rRNA from 1 species
GGGGCAUGUGAGGGCUGUCGCCGACUCAAAGUCGUGCACGCCCGAACGUGUCCUCUCACAUAAUAAUCCAUCUCACCCUUUGUGCAUCGCCGCGUGGGCACCCUUUGGGAUCAUCUCGGAGGGGGCUCGCGUUUUCACACAAACCCCCCUUUUAAAAGUGUAGAAUGACCUCAUUUAUGCGCUAACCCGCAAUCAAUACAACUUUCAACAACGGAUCUCUUGGCUCUCGCAUCGAUGAAGAACGCAGCGAAAUGCGAUACGUAAUGUGAAUUGCAGAAUUCAGUGAAUCAUCGAAUCUUUGAACGCACCUUGCGCCCCUUGGUAUUCCGAGGGGCACACCCGUUUGAGUGUCGUGAAAACCUCAACCUCUUUGGUUUCUUCUGGAGACCAAAGCAGGCUUGGACUUUGGAGGCCUUUGCUGGCACCUCUCUCUUUUGAAGGUCAGCUCCUCUUAAAUGAAUUAGCAGGGUCCUCUUUGCCGAUCCUCGACGUGUGAUAAGAUGUUUCCAUGUCUUGGUUUCUGGCUCUGUCACUUUUGGGACCCGCUUCUAACCGUCUUGACCUUGCGUCGAGACAAGUGUUCGAGCAUGUCUCCCUUCUGGGAAGCUCCCUCGACCCCACGAACCCUUGA